UACAGGGGGGGCAAGCGUUGUUCGGAAUUACUGGGCGUAAAGGGCUCGUAGGUGGCCAACUAAGUCAGACGUGAAAUCCCUCAGCUUAACUGGGGAACUGCGUCCGAUACUGGAUGGCUUGAGUUUGGGAGAGGGAUGCGGAAUUCCAGGUGUAGCGGUGAAAUGCGUAGAUAUCUGGAGGAACACCGGUGGCGAAGGCGGCAUCCUGGACCAACACUGACACUGAGGAGCGAAAGCCAGGGGAGCAAACGGG
rnacentral:rRNA from 1 species